rnacentral:rRNA from 1 species
GACGAACGCUGGCGGCGUGCUUAACACAUGCAAGUCGAACGGAAAGGCCCUGGUGCUGUCGGGUGCUCGAGUGGCUAACGGGUGAGUAACAAGUGAGUAACCUUCCCUUGACUUUGGGAGAACUACAGGAAACUGGGGCUGAUACCGGAUAGGAGCUCCUGCUGCUUGGUGGGGGGUGGAAAGGUUCGGCGGUUGUGGAUGGACUCGGGGCUUAUCAGCUCGUGGGUGGGGGAGGGGCUUACCAAGGCUGUGCCGGGUAGCCGGCCUGAGAGGGUGGACGGCCACAUUGGGACUGAGAUAGGGACCAGACUGCUACGGGGGGCAGCAGUGGGGAAUCUGGCACAGUGGGCGGGAGCCUGAUGCAGCGGCGCCGGGGGCGGGAUGACGGUCUUCGGGUUGUAAACCGCUUUCGCCUAUGACGAAGCGGGAGUGACGGUAAUGGGUAAAGAAGCACCGGCUAACUACGUG